GAAGUCGUAAAACAAAAGGUAAAACCGUAGGGGAAAACCUGCGGUUGGAUCAACCUCCUUAACCUUAAA
rnacentral:rRNA from 1 species